rnacentral:tRNA from 1 species
CAUCGUGUGGCAGAUUUAAUGCCUAGACUUUAAGCGUCUAUCAUAAACUUUUAUGUUUCACAAUGU